GAUGAAGAACGCAGCGAAAUGCGAUACGUAAUGUGAAUUGCAGAAUUCAGUGAAUCAUCGAGUCUUUGAACGCACAUUGCGCCCCCUGGUAUUCCGGGGGGCAUGCCUGUCCGAGCGUCAUUGCUGCCCUCAAGCACGGCUUGUGUGUUGGGCCUCCGUCCUCCUCCCGGGGGACGGGCCCGAAAGGCAGCGGCGGCACCGCGUCCGGUCCUCGAGCGUAUGGGGCUUUGUCACCCGCUCUGUAGGCCCGGCCGGCGCCAGCCGACAACCCAUCAUCCUUUUCAGGUUGACCUCGGAUCAGGUAGGGAUACCCGCUGAACUUAAGCAUAUCAAUAAGCGGAGGA
rnacentral:misc_RNA from 1 species